rnacentral:rRNA from 1 species
AUUGAACGCUGGCGGCAGGCCUAACACUUGCAAGUCGAGCGGAUGAAGGGAGCUUGCUCCUGGAUUCAGCGGCGGACGGGUGAGUAAUGCCUAGGAAUCUGCCUGGUAGUGGGGGAUAACGUCCGGAAACGGGCGCUAAUACCGCAUACGUCCUGAGGGAGAAAGUGGGGGAUCUUCGGACCUCACGCUAUCAGAUGAGCCUAGGUCGGAUUAGCUAGUUGGUGGGGUAAAGGCCUACCAAGGCGACGAUCCGUAACUGGUCUGAGAGGAUGAUCAGUCACACUGGAACUGAGACACGGUCCAGACUCCUACGGGAGGCAGCAGUGGGGAAUAUUGGACAAUGGGCGAAAGCCUGAUCCAGCCAUGCCGCGUGUGUGAAGAAGGUCUUCGGAUUGUAAAGCACUUUAAGUUGGGAGGAAGGGCAGUAAGUUAAUACCUUGCUGUUUUGACGUUACCAACAGAAUAAGCACCGGCUAACUUCGU